rnacentral:rRNA from 1 species
AACGAACGCUGGCGGCAUGCCUAACACAUGCAAGUCGAACGAAGCCUUCGGGCUUAGUGGCGCACGGGUGCGUAACGCGUGGGAAUCUGCCCUUGGGUUCGGAAUAACAGUUAGAAAUGACUGCUAAUACCGAAUGAUGUCUUCGGACCAAAGAUUUAUCGCCCAAGGAUGAGCCCGCGUCGGAUUAGCUAGUUGGUGAGGUAAAGGCUCACCAAGGCGACGAUCCGUAGCUGGUCUGAGAGGAUGAUCAGCCACACUGGGACUGAGACACGGCCCAGACUCCUACGGGAGGCAGCAGUGGGGAAUAUUGGACGAUGGGCGAAAGCCUGAUCCAGCAAUGCCGCGUGAGUGAUGAAGGCCUUAGGGUUGUAAAGCUCUUUUACCCGGGAUGAUAAUGACAGUACCGGGAGAAUAAGCCCCGGCUAACUCCGUGCCAGCAGCCGCGGUAAU